rnacentral:rRNA from 1 species
AUGAACGCUGGCGACGUGCUUAACCCAUGCAAGUCGAACGAAGCACUUUAUUUGAUUUCCUUCGGGACUGAUUAUUUUGUGACUGAGUGGCGGACGGGUGAGUAACGCGUGGGUAACCUGCCUUGUACAGGGGGAUAACAGUUGGAAACGGCUGCUAAUACCGCAUAAGCGCACGGCAUCGCAUGAUGCAGUGUGAAAAACUCCGGUGGUAUAAGAUGGACCCGCGUUGGAUUAGCUAGUUGGUGAGGUAACGGCCCACCAAGGCGACGAUCCAUAGCCGACCUGAGAGGGUGACCGGCCACAUUGGGACUGAGACACGGCCCAAACUCCUACGGGAGGCAGCAGUGGGGAAUAUUGCACAAUGGGCGAAAGCCUGAUGCAGCGACGCCGCGUGAGCGAAGAAGUAUUUCGGUAUGUAAAGCUCUAUCAGCAGGGAAGAUAAUGACGGUACCUGACUAAGAAGCACCGGCUAAAUACGUG